rnacentral:rRNA from 1 species
AAAGUCUGAUGGAGCAACGCCGCGUGAGUGAUGAAGGUUUUCGGAUCGUAAAACUCUGUUGUAAGGGAAGAACCAGUACGUCAGGCAAUGGACGUACCUUGACGGUACCUUAUUAGAAAGCCACGGCUAACUACGUGCCAGCAGCCGCGGUAAUACGUAGGUGGCAAGCGUUGUCCGGAAUCACUGGGCGUAAAGCGCACGUAGGCGGAUCGUUAAGUCAGGGGUGAAAUCCUGGGGCUCAACCUCAGAACUGCCCUUGAUACUGGCGAUCUCGAGUUCGAGAGAGGUUGGUGGAACUCCGAGUGUAGAGGUGAAAUUCGUAGAUAUUCGGAAGAACACCAGUGGCGAAGGCGGCCAACUGGCUCGAUACUGACGCUGAGGUGCGAAAGCGUGGGGAGCAAACA